GCCGGAAUGGCGGAAUUGGCAGACGCACAGGACUUAAAAUCCUGCGAUCUUUACCGAUCGUGCCGGUUCGACCCCGGCUUCCGGCACCA
rnacentral:tRNA from 1 species